rnacentral:rRNA from 1 species
GAGGAAUAUUGGUCAAUGGGCGAAAGCCUGAACCAGCCAUGCCGCGUGAAGGAUGACGGCCCUAUGGGUUGUAAACUUCUUUUAUACGGGAAGAAACUUCUCUACG